rnacentral:rRNA from 1 species
AAAUGAAUUGACGGGGGCCCGCACAAGCGGUGGAGCACGUGGUUUAAUUCGAUGAUAAGCGAAGAACCUUACCAGGACUUGACAUAGUGGUGCUAUUCGGUGAAAGCCGGAGUUCCCGUAAGGGACGCCAUUACAGGUGCUGCAUGGUUGUCGUCAGCUCGUGCCGUGAGGUGUUGGGUUAAGUCCCGCAACGAGCGCAACCCCUGUUCUUAGUUGCUACUCGCAAGAGAGCACUCUAAGGAGACUGCCGGCGACAAGUCGGAGGAAGGAGGGGAUGACGUCAAAUCAUCAUGGCCUUUAUGUCCUGGGCUACACACAUGCUACAAUGGUCACUACAACGGGAAGCGAAGCCGCGAGGUGGAGCCAAUCCUGAAAAGUGGCCUCAAUAUGGAUUGCAGUCUGCAACUCGACUGCAUGAAACCGGAAUCGCUAGUAAUCGCGGGUCAGCAACACCGCGGUGAAUACGUUCUCGGGCCUUGUACACACCGCCCGU